UCGCAUUCGAAAAGCUAGUGGCUACGUAGUCGAAAUUCAACUAGAUUUGUGAAUGCAAAACUUCACUACAAAGCUAGUCAAUCCUGAGCUGUCAUAUUAAUGACAGAUGCAAAAGUAAACAAACGCAAAAUCGGAAACAUUUGAGAAAGUUUUAAGAAUUUUAAACAAAUAACAACAAUAUUUUUAAAUUAAAUAAAAACAAAUACAAAAAAUUAGAUAAAAUGAGCGAUUCGGAAGAAGAUGAAGUCAUAGAGCUGUGAUUGUCGUAAACGAUCUCCUCGCAGUGGGUUCCUUAUCUGACCAACUUCAAGAAAACAUUAAAGAAGAUCGCGUAAGGAAUACGAACUAUUAUGAAGUAGUAAUUCCAGAUUACAGUUUAGAAGAAUUCCGGUGCCAUUUUCGAAUGAGUCGAAGUUGUUUUUCGGAUCUUAUGACAAAGAUUGGAAAUCUCAAGUGUGUUCAUCAGUUGGAAAAAAAACUUUUGUAUACUAUUUGGACUUUAAGCAAACAAGAGAGUUUUUUGUCAUCUGGCGAUCGUUUCAAUUUAGCACCAAGUUCAGCACACAAUUCAUUUUGUGAGAUUCUGGAUUUGUUGUGUUCCCUUUUGGCUCAAUACAUUAAGUGGCCAUCAAUAAGCCAAUAUAAUGAUAUAUCCCGGGUAUUUCGAGAAAAAUCAGGAGGUUAUAUUCCCGGGAUCGUUGGUGCGAUAGAUGGGUGUCACAUUC